rnacentral:rRNA from 1 species
AACGAACGCUGGCGGCAGGCUUAACACAUGCAAGUCGAGCGCCCCGCAAGGGGAGCGGCAGACGGGUGAGUAACACGUGGGAAUCUACCCAUCCCUACGGAACAACUCCGGGAAACUGGAGCUAAUACCGUAUACGCCCUUUGGGGGAAAGAUUUAUCGGGGAUGGAUGAGCCCGCGUUGGAUUAGCUAGUUGGUGGGGUAAAGGCCUACCAAGGCGACGAUCCAUAGCUGGUCUGAGAGGAUGAUCAGCCACAUUGGGACUGAGACACGGCCCAAACUCCUACGGGAGGCAGCAGUGGGGAAUAUUGGACAAUGGGCGCAAGCCUGAUCCAGCCAUGCCGCGUGAAUGAUGAAGGCCUUAGGGUUGUAAAGUUCUUUCACCGAUGAAGAUAAUGACGGUAGUCGGAGAAGAAGCCCCGGCUAACUUCGUGCCAGCAGCCGCGGUAAAAC